CUUAAAGAUCAAGGAAAGAAUGAAAGCCUAAAUACAGAUCCCUUGAUUAGCAUAGGUUCAAUGGUGACAGUCAAGACAAUAGGAAUGAUAAAAGGGCCCCAUUUGCAAGACAUUGAUCUCCAAGCUCAGCCUGAG